rnacentral:rRNA from 1 species
UGACGAGUUUGAUCCUGGCUCAGAUUGAACGCUGGCGGAAUGCUUUACACAUGCAAGUCGAACGGUAGAGGGGGCAACCCCUCGAGAGUGGCGAACGGGUGAGUAAUAUAUCGGAACGUGCCCAGUCGUGGGGGAUAACGUAGCGAAAGUCUACGACUAACUACCGCAUACGACCUGGAGGUGAAAGCGGGGGACUCGCAAGAGCCUCGCGCGAUUGGAGCGGCCGAUGCAGAUUA